ACGGUGCCUUGCCUCUAUUUGAGACAAGGGUAAAAGGGAAACAGGUUAAAAUCCUGUACGAUCUCGUCACUGUGAUAGGAGAGCAAUUCAUCAAAGUGCGGAAUGGAAAGUCCAUUUAAGUACUGGUCACUGGAGAAAUCCGGGAAGGCGAUGGAAAGCGAUGAACCUUAAGUCAGGAAACCUGCCGUUUGCCA
rnacentral:ncRNA from 1 species